AACGUACGCUGGCGGCACUAACACAUGCAAGUCGAACGAAGUAGCAAUACUUAGUGGCAGACGGGUGAGUAACAUGUGGGUAUCUACCCUUUGGCCUGGAAUAACACGAGGAAACUUGUGCUAAUACCGGAUAAGCCCUUACGGGGAAAGUUUUAAUGCCGAAAGAUGAGCCCGCACUUGAUUAGUUUGUUGGUAGGGUAAUGGCCUACCAAGACUAUGAUCAAUAGCUGAUUUGAGAGGAUGAUCAGCCACAUUGGGACUGAGACACGGCCCAAACUCCUACGGGAGGCAGCAGUGGGGAAUCUUGCACAAUGGAGGGAACUCUGAUGCAGCGAUGCCGCGUGAGUGAAGAAGGCCCUUGGGUUGUAAAGCUCUUUCGUCGGGGAAGAAAUGACUGUCCCGAAUAGAGG
rnacentral:rRNA from 1 species